rnacentral:tmRNA from 1 species
AUAGUCAUUUACUAGCGUGUCGGUUCGCAGGUACUUGGUGAAUUUAAAGAUCGACUAAGCAUGUAGUACCAAUGAUGAAUGAUUUUUGGACGGGGGUUCAACUCCCCCCACCUCCACAU